rnacentral:misc_RNA from 1 species
AUAAAGAACGGCAUAUCUGUCAGAGUCAAGGCACCCGGCACAUAAGUCACAAUCGACUCUGAUUCACAGUAAAUCUUGCCGCCUGCUUGAGCCACCGUUAGACAAAAAUCAAUAUGCUCUCGGGUGCUUAAAAAGCCUUCGUCUAAGGGACCUAUUUUCUCAAAAAUACUGGUGCGGACUAACAUGCAGUGAAACUCGGCAAACUCACACUCGCGACGGUGUAGCUAAUCUUUCACGGUAGCCAUGGGCCUGUUCACGAAAUAGUGCUUCUCAUGAACCCGCCGUUUAACCUGCCCUCCUUCCUGGUCUACUAAGAUCCGGGCUUCUCCGCCAGCAAGGUGAAUAAUUUGAUCUUCCGGUUUACCAAUGCAGGUUAAGGGGGCAACGACUGUCGCUCCGGUUUCCUCAGCACACUGGACGAGGCGAUCUAACCAACCGGGUGUGACAACGACAUCA